UUUGUUUUUUGGCCUUUUGUCUGAGAUCGAAUGUGGUAUAGGUGUUUGUCAGUUUUGUGUUUGAUACGUUGUCGGUGAGAGGACUUUUAUGUUAGACGGGAUUUUGGGUUCGGGAGUUGGGUCCAGAGCAUGAUUCCGUGAGUUCAGCGCAUCGUCCCGGUAUUGCAGUACUUACUGGAACGGUGCAUCUUCU